rnacentral:rRNA from 1 species
CGCGAAUGGCUCAUUACAACAGCUAUAAUUUACUUGAUCUUGACAAUCCUACUUGGAUAACUGUGGUAAUUCUAGAGCUAAUACAUGCACCAAAGCUCUGACCUUACGGGAAGAGUGCAUUUAUUAGAACAAAACCAAGCGGCUUCGGCUGUUUUCGGUUGACUCAUAGUAACUGAGCUGAUCGCAUGGUCUUGCACCGGCGACGUGUCUUUCGAGUAUCUGCCGUAUCAACUUUCGAUGGUAGUGUAUCUGACUACCAUGGUGAUCACGCGUAACGGAGAAUAAGGGUUCGACUCCGGAGAGUUCGCCUGAGAAAUCGCGAACACAUCUAAGGAAGGCAGCAGGCGCGAAAAUUACCCACUCUCAGCACGAGGAGGUAGUGACGAAAAAUAACGAGACCGUUCUCUUAUGAGGCCGGUCAUCGGAAUGGGUACAAUUUAAACCCUUUAACGAGUAUCUAUGAGAGGGCAAGUCUGGUGCCAGCAGCCGCGGUAAUUCCAGCU